rnacentral:rRNA from 1 species
UACGGAGGGUGCAAGCGUUAUCCGGAUUCACUGGGUUUAAAGGGUGCGUAGGUGGGUUGUAAGUCAGUGGUGAAAUCUCCAGGCUUAACUUGGAAACUGCCAUUGAUACUAUCAAUCUUGAAUACCGUGGAGGUCAGCGGAAUAUGUCAUGUAGCGGUGAAAUGCUUAGAUAUGACAUAGAACACCAAUUGCGAAGGCAGCUGGCUACACGAAUAUUGACACUGAUGCACGAAAGCGUGGGGAUCAAACAGG